CACGGGGGGAGCAAGCGUUGUUCGGAAUCACUGGGCGUAAAGGGCGUGUAGGCGGUCAAGUAAGUGGAAUGUGAAAGCCCCCGGCUUACCCGGGGAUCUGCAUCCCAAACUGCUUGGCUUGAGUACGGGAGAGGAUAGGGGAAUUCCAGGUGUAGCGGUGAAAUGCGUAGAUAUCUGGAGGAACACCGGUGGCGAAGGCGGCAUCCUGGACCAACACUGACGCUGAGGAGCGAAAGCCAGGGGAGCGAACGGG
rnacentral:rRNA from 1 species